UCAAACUUGGUCAUUUAGAGGAAGUAAAAGUCGUAACAAGGUCUCCGUUGGUGAACCAGCGGAGGGAUCAUUACCGAGUUUCCGAACUCCCCAACCCCAUCGCGAACGUUACCUCUUGUUGCUUCGGCGGGUCGGCCCCGGGCCCCUUCCCCCCGGUGCCACCGGGCGGCCCGGACUCCAGGCCCCCGCCGAAGGCCCCCACGGCAAACUCCUGCUUUUGCCUCCCGCUGCCGGGAGAUGGCUUCCUCUCUGAGACCGGGCCCUGGCGGGCCCGGGCAAAGCAAGAAACGAAUCAAAACUUUCAACAACGGAUCUCUUGGCUCUGGCAUCGAUGAAGAACGCAGC
rnacentral:misc_RNA from 1 species